CCCUUAGAUGUUCUGGGCCGCACGCGCGCUACACUGAUGAAUUCAACGAGCUCCUAACCUAGGCCGAAGGGUCCGGGUAAUCUUUGAAAUUUCAUCGUGAUGGGGAUAGAUUAUUGCAAUUAUUAAUCUUCAACGAGGAAUUCCUAGUAAGCGCGAGUCAUCAGCUCGCGUUGAUUACGUCCCUGCCCUUUGUACACACCGCCCGUCGUUCCUACCGAUUGAAUGGUCCGGUGAAAUGUUCGGAUCGCGGCAAAUCGGACGGGUAACCGUCAGGUUCGCUGCGAGAAGUUCAUUAAACCUUAUCAUUUAGAGGAAGGAGAAGUCGUAACA
rnacentral:rRNA from 1 species